GCACCGGCUAACUCCGUGCCAGCAGCCGCGGUAAUACGGAGGGUGCGAGCGUUAAUCGGAAUUACUGGGCGUAAAGCGCAUGCAGGUGGUUUGUUAAGUCAGAUGUGAAAGCCCGGGGCUCAACCUCGGAAUUGCAUUUGAAAACUGGCAAACUAGAGUACUGUAGAGGGGGUAGGAAUUUCAGGUGUAGCGGUGAAAUGCGUAGAGAUCUGAAGGAAUACCGGUGGCGAAGGCGGCCCCCUGGACAGAUACUGACACUCAGAUGCGAAAGCGUGGGGAGCAAACAGGAUUAGAUACCCUGGUAG
rnacentral:rRNA from 1 species